rnacentral:rRNA from 1 species
UGCAAGUCGAACGAUGAUCCCAGCUUGCUGGGGGAUUAGUGGCGAACGGGUGAGUAACACGUGAGUAACCUGCCCUUGACUCUGGGAUAAGCCUGGGAAACUGGGUCUAAUACCGGAUACGACCAUCUGGCGCAUGUCAUGGUGGUGGAAAGCUUUUGUGGUUUUGGAUGGACUCGCGGCCUAUCAGCUUGUUGGUGGGGUAAUGGCCUACCAAGGCGACGACGGGUAGCCGGCCUGAGAGGGUGACCGGCCACACUGGGACUGAGACACGGCCCAGACUCCUACGGGAGGCAGCAGUGGGGAAUAUUGCACAAUGGGCGCAAGCCUGAUGCAGCGACGCCGCGUGAGGGAUGACGGCCUUCGGGUUGUAAACCUCUUUCAGUAGGGAAGAAGCGAAAGUGACGGUACCUGCAGAAGAAGCGCCGGCUAACUACGUGCCAGCAGCCGCGGUAAUACGUAGGGCGCAAGCGUUAUCCGGAAUUAUUGGGCGUAAAGAGCUCGUAGGCGGUUUGUCGCGUCUGCUGUGAAAGACCGGGGCUCAACUCCGGUUCUGCAGUGGGUACGGGCAGACUAGAGUGCAGUAGGGGAGACUGGAAUUCCUGGUGUAGCGGUGAAAUGCGCAGAUAUCAGGAGGAACACCGAUGGCGAAGGCAGGUCUCUGGGCUGUAACUGACGCUGAGGAGCGAAAGCAUGGGGAGCGAACAGGAUUAGAUACCCUGGUAGUCCAUGCCGUAAACGUUGGGCACUAGGUGUGGGGGACAUUCCACGUUUUCCGCGCCGUAGCUAACGCAUUAAGUGCCCCGCCUGGGGAGUACGGCCGCAAGGCUAAAACUCAAAGGAAUUGACGGGGGCCCGCACAAGCGGCGGAGCAUGCGGAUUAAUUCGAUGCAACGCGAAGAACCUUACCAAGGCUUGACAUGAACCGGAAAGACCUGGAAACAGGUGCCCCGCUUGCGGUCGGUUUACAGGUGGUGCAUGGUUGUCGUCAGCUC